rnacentral:lncRNA from 1 species
UUGAUUAAAUAGCUAACCAUGAAAUGAAGCAUAGCUGUUGACCAAAGCCAAGGCAUUACUAGUCAAAUGAGCGAUUGUGACAAUCUUGGAUCUCACAGCAGUCUUUACACUGCCGUUCAUGUUUUUCCCUCCAAACCCGUCGGCGCAGGUGUUCUCAUCCGUCAAAGCAGCGCUAACCCAUGUCUGUAUAUCGUUAAUCAUUAGUCCAAAAUUGGAGCCUUUAAGCUGACCCAUCUCGCUGAUUGACUUUCUCAGCUCAUCUAUCGUGUCCUCCAAUUCCUCCACGCAAUCUUGCAUGGCGCCCACCUCUGUAGGCUUCAAUCCUUGGCUUUUGGCAAGCUUCACCAUCAAGGCCGAGGUUGACUUGGCGGUUGAAAGGGUCACGUUUAGGGCGGCAUGGGCGAUGAGUUGGGGGCUUGUUUGGAUCAUGCUAGCCUGUGUUAAGAGAGAUUCGUAACAAAGUUUAGGGUAAGUCGUUGAACUACAAGAUGUUCUGAUAAACUCAAUGCUAGUUUUAGGGGCAAUUUGCCUACCA